rnacentral:misc_RNA from 1 species
AUUGGACCAAACAACUUAGUAAAUAGAGUUGUAGCUAGGCGACACAAGUGGCAGAGUUGUAGCUAGGCGACACAAGUGGCGGGCCGUGGAGGCAGUAGGUGGUGGUGGAACGGCCACACGCAUUGGCCCGGACAUCGAACUGCCGAGUUUGCAGCCGUGAGUGGUUGCCGCAGCUGCUCGAGCAUAAUCCGAUGUCAACCACGUCGAACGCGGUGAGGACGACUAUGAUAGAUGUUGGAUCGGUUCUGCAUAUUGGCAACGAUGAGCGACUGGCUCAGGAAGUAGCGAGGAUUGAGAAGCUGGCGGCCGAGGGAGAGACGGUAUACUGUGCCACUGUUGCGCUCGUUGAUGUGCCACCAUGAAGCGGCGAACUGCUUGUGAGGGAAAGGAUGAGCUCUGUGACGAUGGCACAGCGGGAUGAGGAAAAAGUACUGUACCAGAAGAUGUUGGAGGUGUAGUUGUUGUAGCUGAGGAGCUGAGGUGGUGGGUUGAAGAGG